rnacentral:rRNA from 1 species
UACGAAGGGGGGGCUAGCGUUUGCUCGGAUUGACUGGGCGUAAAGGGCGCGUAGGCGGUUCGUACAGUCAGACGUGAAAUUCCUGGGCUCAACCUGGGGGCUGCGUUUGAUACGUGCGGACUUGAGUGCGGAAGAGGGUCGUGGAAUUCCCAGUGUAGAGGUGAAAUUCGUAGAUAUUGGGAAGAACACCGGUGGCGAAGGCGGCCAUCUGGACCGCAACUGACGCUGAGGCGCGAAAGCGUGGGGAGCAAACAGG